AUAAAUACUAAAGUAUUGGGGCUAUUGUAUCUCUCAUUAAAACCUAUUUCCAAUCACCACAAAGCAAAGAAACGAAGCCCUCGUACAAACAGUCGCACAAAUCUACACACACACAACCGUGCUCUACCUUCUAUCCACGGAGUUUCUCAUUCACUCGCGAGCCCACAUCACGCACGUUCGCAUCCACGCUCCUCCCGAGACAUAAAAGGAAAAGGAUUGUGCACAUCCACACAAUCGGCUUGCACACACGUUCUCACGGCCACACUCAGUCACAGACACACGUCCGGCACACAGUCCCAUCGCGCCACACGCACAGUCCUCCACGCGCCGCUCCCCCGGCCUCAGGGAAGCUCCGGCACCGCCACAGCCCUGCGGGCAUCCUCCCCCAACAACACAGGCACCGGGUCCGCAGGCCCCUACUCGCGAGCAGCACAAAGGGUCCCGGACUCAGAGCUCGCGGCCUCCCGAAGACUCACCCGCGAGCCCGCGGACACAGGCCCAGUUCCACACCUCCACGCCGCCCAAGUGGCGCAGCGGGUGCCGGCCGGGUCUGAGGAACCUCUAAGGUCAGCGCCGGCAGCGGCUGAGGGCAGCACGAGCCUCGGUCCGUUAGACGCCGCACAACACUUCCCAGAGGCCCCCGCGGCUGGCGGGGGCGGGUCGGCUUUCCUGCCGGCGAGUAGCGGGAAUCAUCCACCGCUGCGAGCAAGGGCUCCCAGGGCUGCCGAGGAGGUUCAGCUGAGUCCUGCUGGAGCUGCUUCAGCAUUUCAUUGGGUUUGGCUCCGACUUCAGAAGAAUUAAUCAACAAUGACAGUUGAAUUCUCUGCCAUAAUUUUGCAGUAGAGACAAAAAUGGAGAAAAUGUCUGUGAAAACACUAGCCCAAUGCUUUUCUGCUAUGGUAUGUUGACAAAGAACAAAAUGCUGAAAACUAGGGCACCCCUAGUGGCUCAGCGGUUUAGCGCCGCCUUCGGCCCAGGGCCUGAUCCUGGAGACUUGGGAUCGAGUCCUGCGUUGGGUUCCCUGCGUGGAGCCUGCUUCUCC
rnacentral:lncRNA from 12 species